GGGGAAUAUUGCACAAUGGGGGAAACCCUGAUGCAGCGACGCCGCGUGGAGGAAGAAGGUCUUCGGAUUGUAAACUCCUGUUGUUGAGGAAGAUAAUGACGGUACUCAACAAGGAAGUGACGGCUAACUACGUGCCAGCAGCCGCGGUAAAACGUAGGUCACAAGCGUUGUCCGGAAUUACUGGGUGUAAAGGGAGCGCAGGCGGGAAGACAAGUUGGAAGUGAAAUCCAUGGGCUCAACCCAUAAACUGCUUUCAAAACUGUUUUUCUUGAGUAGUGCAGAGGUAGGCGGAAUUCCCGGUGUAGCGGUGGAAUGCGUAGAUAUCGGGAGGAACACCAGUGGCGAAGGCGGCCUACUGGGCACCAACUGACGCUGAGGCUCGAAAGUGUGGGUAGCAAACAGGAUUAGAUACCCUGGUAGUCCACACCGUAAACGAUGAUUACUAGGUGUUGGAGGAUUGACCCCUUCAGUGCCGCAGUUAACACAAUAAGUAAUCCACCUGGGGAGUACGACCGCAAGGUUGAAACUCAAAGGAAUUGACGGGGGCCCGCACAAGCAGUGGAGUAUGUGGUUUAAUUCGACGCAACGCGAAGAACCUUACCAAGUCUUGACAUCCUGCGACGGUGCUGGAAACAGUGCUUUCCUUCGGGACGCAGAGACAGGUGGUGCAUGGUUGUCGUCAGCUCGUGUCGUGAGAUGUUGGGUUAAGUCCCGCAACGAGCGCAACCCUUACUGUCAGUUACUACGCAAGAGGACUCUGGCAGGACUGCCGUUGACAAAACGGAGGAAGGUGGGGAUGACGUCAAAUCAUCAUGCCCUUUAUGACUUGGGCUACACACGUACUACAAUGGCGUUAAACAAAGAGAAGCAAGACCGCGAGGUGGAGCAAAACUCAGAAACAACGUCCCAGUUCGGACUGCAGGCUGCAACUCGCCUGCACGAAGUCGGAAUUGCUAGUAAUCGUGGAUCAGCAUGCCACGGUGAAUACGUUCCCG
rnacentral:rRNA from 1 species